rnacentral:lncRNA from 1 species
GAUUUUGUUUGGUUUUACUUUUUCAAGGACUUCGGACAUCACUUGAUUAUUAAUUUGUGGGAAGAAAGAAAACUAAUGUGGAUCACCAACCAAGAAAGUGUGUCAAAAUACCUCAAGAGCAUGCUUUAAAAUAUCUGUUGUCUAAUAAUUAUUGAGGUCUUGAAGUUGGUGAUCAGAGAAUGACCAUAGGUGUACUGCACCUUUCUAAUUAUCCACCCCACUUUUUAUUAUCUCUCUGCUUCCACAUUCCACAGUUCUUGUUUUUGUUAUUGCUAUUUUGUGACCAACUGGAAUCAUCUGUUUGACUAUAGUUUGGAAUUACCCACUGCGGCUUGGUUUUCUUUUCAUGAUUGGCAGCUGAGACCUGGUGAGGACCAGCUAACCAGUCCACACUGCCUCUCUUAAAGAACAACUUCAUCUUGAACUGUGGAGAAGAGAGGCACCAUGACCAAGACAACUAUUAUAAAGGACAACAUUCAACUGGGGCUGACUUACAGGUUCAGAGAUUAUCAUCAAGGCACAGAGGAACUCAGAGCCUUGGGCAGAGAUGAAUUGCUCAAAAAGAGUGAUGGUUCUCCUCUGCCAUAUAGUCAUUACAAGUAACCAAGAUCUCAAGAAUCUUUGCUUCAAGAAUCAAGCUAUACAAAAUGAGAAAGAAAAAUGCUUUAUAUGAAAUACAUAUGUAUAUCUGGGAAACAACCCGUGUUGAGAAGACAAUAACGCAUUACGGAAACAACCAACAGUAAACCCCAUCUGCUUUCUUUUGAAUGGUUAAAUUUUAGCCUAAUUAUUUUUUCCCAUCAACAAGCCAAUUGGACAAACUCAUUUACCCAAAUUUACAUGAAAGUAAUGUAGGUAAACGGAAGCCAUUAUUCAGAUGAGUAAAUUCUAUUCAUUUUCAUCAUCUCUGUGAUCAAGUUGCAAAGGACACGCUUGCUUUUCUUUUUGCUUUUCCUAAGCCACUGCUUCCUGCUUCUUCAGGAAUCUGGUUCUCUUUUUUUAGAAUCUUUAUGGGACAGCCUGAAGAAUUCCGAGAUGCCUUUUUGCCACUUGGGAGUUGGGCACACACAGACUGAGUUCCCUCCAGCAUGCUUAUUUUCAGCUUUUCUCCAGGAACUUGAAGAAUUGGUGACAAAGGUGGAGAAGCCAAGCACCUUCCUAGGGUUGCAGCACUUUUCUGUAGGCUCCUGGGACGUUUUGCUUUGGUCUGCACCAUGUUUACACAGGAAAAGGCAACUUUCACUGACACCCCAACUGCAGAUGUCUCAAAUGGCAAGAACCAUAAUUUUCCUUAUAUCCUUUGACAUUGGUAGAUCUCUAAAUGGAAGGACUGGGAUAAUGACAUUAAAAGAGGGUGUGCUC